rnacentral:rRNA from 1 species
GAGUGAAGAGGGAAGAGCUCAUCAUUGGAAUCUGGCAGUGUUUUCACUGUCCGAGUUGUAGAUGAGGAGUAGUCCAUCUGGACUGCAUGGCGUCCAAGUACAAUAGGCCGUCAGUGGGACAUCAUAGAGGGUGACAAUCCCGUCCUUGAUGCCAAUGUGCAAGUCCGUUACGAUGGCUAUCUCAGAGAGUCGAGCAGUUUGGGAUUUGCUGCUUAAACAUGGGAGGUAGAUUCCUUCUAAAGCUAAAUACAGGCGAGAGACCGAUAGAGAACAAGUACCGCAAGGGAAAGAUGAAAUAGCACUCUGUGAAGGGAGUCAAAAGACGUGAAAUUGUUGCGAGAGAAGCGAUUCAAGUCAGCGUAGCUAGGCCCAUCAAGCCUCUUGCUUUGGACUAGCUUUGCCAGCGGUCUUGUCCUAAGAGACUUGACUUGUUAAUAUGUCCAGCCUGGUAUGCACAGGUAGCCCCAUCGGGGCCAGUGACAUGGCUGGUGGAAUGGCUUGCAAUCGACCCGUCUUGAAACACGGACCAAGGAGUCUAACAUGUAUGCGAGUAUAAGGGUGGCAAACCCGUAUGCGCAAUGAAAGUGAUUUUCGGUGAUUGAGAAUGGCCUGAUGACCAGACAAGCAAUAUUAUGUCCCUCGUACGGCCAUUGCCCAAGUUCCGUGGUAGAUCCCACGAACAUGGAGUUGGAGCAUACAUGCUAGGACCCGAAAGAUGGUGAACUAUGCCUGGACAAAGCGAAGCCAAAGGAAACUCUGGUGGAGGCUUGUAGCGAUUCUGACGUGCAAAUCGAUCGUCUGAUCUG